GGGGGUAUAGCUCAGCUGGGAGAGCAGCAGACUGAAGUCGAUACGACACUUCUGAAGGUCCCGCGUUCGAUCCGCGGUACCCCCA